AGUAGAAGGAAGUCCGCGAGCUCCGUGGGUUUGUGCCUAGGCGCUUGAGGUUCGGGGCCUUCAGCUGGCACCGGGGGCGCUGCGUUGGCGAAUUUGGCACUCUUGGCGUUGGGUGGGUGGCAUCUUGGGGGUCACAUGAGCCAGUGGCAUCAUGCCUGCGGGCGCUGGGGUCAGGGUCGCGGUUUUUCCGGACGUUCGUCGGUCAAGAGGACGGGCGGAAAGCACAUCCCGGAAAGGUGGAAAGACUAUCUCCCAGUUGGACAGUGGAUGCCUGGGACUCGUUUCAUUGCUUUCAAAGUUCCUUUAAAAUAGAGUUUUGAAAAGAACCUUGCUCCAGAAGAAUGCUUUUCCCCCUUGGAUCUUUUUUAUCAAACUCCGAGAACAGAAUGAAGAACUUGGGCUGAUUAUUGACUUAUCAUAUACUCGCCACUAUUAUAAGCCAGAGGACUUACCAGAAACUAUUCCUUAUUUAAAAAUGUGUACAAUUGGGCAUCAGGUGCCAGAUGAUGACACUAUUUUUAAAUUCCAAUGUGUUGUUAAUGGGUUUUUGAAAGAAAAUAAGAUAAUGCUUGGGCUUACGUCUUAAGCCUCACUUUUUCACUGUGAAAGAAGAACGGUGCUACUUACCCGAGGUCUCCACAGGCACAUAGACCCGUGGCGUGCGAGGAGCAGUGAAUGAGAGAAGGAAUGGAAGUGCUUUGGGACCCCAAGAGCCCUUCAAAAACAGUUUGUUCUUUUAAAUAUUGAGGAUUAAAAGUGAAGGCAUUCCAUUUGUUUCACUCAAAAACAAAUUCCAUUUUGAGUUUAUUUUUGUGUAUGGUGUUAGGGAGUGUUCUAAUUUCAUACUUUUACAUGUACCUGUCCUGUUUUCCCAGCACCACUUAUUGAAGAGGCUGUCUUUUCUGCACUGUAUAUUCUUGCCUCCUUUGUCAAAGAUAAGGUGACCAUAUGUGUGUGGGUUUAUCUCUGGGCUUUCUGUCCUGUUCCAUUGAUCUAUAUUUCUGUUUUUGUGCCAGUACCAUACUGUCUUGAUUACUGUAGCUUUGUAGUAUAGUCUGAGGUCAGGGAGCCUGAUUCCUCCACCUCCAUUUUUCAUUCUCAAGAUUGCUUUGGCUAUUCAGGGUCUUUUGUGUUUACAUACAAAUUGUGAAAUUUCUUUUUCUAGUCUGUAAAAAAUGCCAGUGUUAGUUUGAUAGGGAUUGCAUUGAAUCUCUACAUUGCUUUGGGUAGUAGAAUCAUUUUCAAAAUGUUGAUUCUUCCAAUCCAAGAACAUGGUAUAUCU